GUAUCCGCCGCUCAGCCGAGGCCGGCGAGAGGUCCGUCAUUAGUCAGCAGAUAUGCAGCGGCAGCGUCAUUCAGGCCACUGAAAGGGAGAAUUGAGCGGCCCGCAGCGAACACGUCGGUGUAAAGAGGCUGGUGUAUCGGGGGUAUUAAAGCGGUAUGGACAGCACAGGACCACACCAGAAAACAAACGCUGACAGGACUCCAAUCCGGCCCGGAGACGAGGCGAGGAGGGUGUGACUAUAAUUACAGAGGAGGAGACGCACUACGCUUGCUGCGACAGUAAACAGCCGGUCACGUGGUCCUGGUCCUGUAUGCCGUCAGGGUAAAUGAUGGGGGAGGUCUUUCUCAGCUGCGCAUCCACUCCCAGCCUUCGUCUCCUCCUCCUCCUCCUCCUCCUCCUCCGACUCUCUAAUGAGUAGCAGGACAAAGCGAGGCGAAAAGGCCCGAUUACUGAGACUACAGGAGAGGGGUAGAAAAGGCAACAAUGCCCAGCAAAGAGCCAGCCAUCUUCAACAAGAUCACACACGCACACUAACAGCAUUCAUUGUUGUAGCUCUGACCAAUUCAUGUGCCUGAAAUAUACAAUUACCUCACACUAUCUGUGUCAAAUAUGUUACGUGCCCUAGAAAUGUCCACUGCAAUUAUUUUCCUGUUGAGAAAACAAAAAGAAAAUCCUGUUCUUUAACAUGUUAGUAAUCCAAAUUAAGAGUUAAAAUGGUGUAAAAUUGAUUAAUUCAUCUUUAAAAAUUGGAAUUGUUCAUUCAAUUUAUUAAUUUACAUUUUUAAAAGAUGAAUUAUUCAUUCAAUUUAUCAAGUAAAAAAUACCAAAUAUCUGCUGGCAGAGUUUAUUCUUAAUGUCUUUCAUGAAUUGAAAACUGUGGCUUUUAGAUGAAGUAAGCCAUUUUAAAACAUUAAAGUAAAGAUGUGAUAA